UACGUAGGGUGCAAGCGUUGUCCGGAAUUAUUGGGCGUAAAGAGCUCGUAGGCGGUUUGUUGCGUCGGCUGUGAAAACCUGAGCUCAACCUCAGGCCUGCAGUCGAUACGAGCAGACUAGAGUGUUGCAGGGGAGACUGGAAUUCCUGGUGUAGCGGUGAAAAUGCGCAGAUAUCAGGAGGAAACACCGGUGGGCGAAAGGCGGGGUCUCUGGGGCCGAUACUGACGUUGAGGGAGCGAAAAAGCGUGGGGGGAGCGAAACAGGG
rnacentral:rRNA from 1 species